rnacentral:misc_RNA from 1 species
GAAAUGCGAUAAGUAAUGUGAAUUGCAGAGUUUUGUGAAUCAUCGAAUCUUUGAACGCACAUUGCGCCCCUCGGUAUUCCGACGGGCAUGCCUGUCCGAGCGUCAUUACGCACCCUCAAGCCCGGCUUGUGUGAUGGGCCCCGGCGUCUCGUUCGCGAGACGGGCCCGAAAGGCAGCGGCGGCGUCGACCCGAUGAGCCCGAGCGUAUGGGGACUUCUGUCACACGUUCGCGGUGCGGACCGGCGCCUGCUUGACUUUUCUGAUUAUCCAGGUUGACCUCGGAUCAGGUAGGGAUACCCGCUGAACUUAAGC